ACCCAAACCUAGGUGAUCUAUUCACAACUAAGAUAAAGGUUGGGUGAAACUAAGUGGAGGUCCAAAUCAAUUGAUGUUGAAGAAUCGGCAAAUGUGCUAUGAUUAAGGGUGAAAUGUCACUCGAACCUAGAGCUAGCUAG
rnacentral:ncRNA from 1 species